CCGAUUUAGAUUCAAUUGUUCACACUAGCCUUAUUCAACCCCAGUCCGCCUCCUGACUUGAUCCGUGGUAAUCCAGUUAGAGCAUUUGCUGAUGCACUUACUUUCCCCUGAAAGCAAAUCUUUUUCUUUUGUUAACACUGUCUGAGUAAGACUUUGUUGACACUCAUAAACAGCACUGUACAUGUUCCCUGAAAAAGAUAAUUGAAACGGAUGUUAAGAGCUGGGCUUUCAAAAAAACCCUCCAAGGACGGUUCUGUGUAGCACUACUUGAUAAUGUGUCACUUUUAGCUGAAACUAGACAUUUUCAACUAUUUGAUGGAGUUUUCUCUUAUUUAUUGUUUCAUCACAUCACUGUGUAAGCUAACAGAAGCUGACCGAGCCAGUGUGCACAGAAAUAACAAAUUCUAGACAGCUUUUACAACAUGACUUGGGUGCAGUUUUAUACUCAUAAAGAAACACCCAGGAAGCAACAAUGUUUUAAAUCUUAUGGGAAGACACAGUUUUCUUUUGAGCACUACAGUUUUCGUACUUCUAACACCAGGUUCAGCAACAAGAGUGGUAUGUCAUGUGUUAAUUUCUUGGGUUGCACAAAAUAGUGUAAGGGGCCAAUAGACUGCAUGAUAAUAUAAUUUUGUCCUGCAAUAAAGACAUAUUGGCAUGAACACAAAGAAGCAGUAGCUGCAGUUAGGAACAGCACAGAUACAACAGUGAGUGUCUUGGUGCUGAUAUAUCAGGCAUUUGAGAACUGUUAGAAGUUUACCACAGACGAUCCAAAAGCUAGAGCAAUUACUGACAUGAUUUCUGAAUUUACAGGACUAAAUAGCCCACAAUUUUUUAAAGUAGAAAAUCAAGGAUUUAACACAUCAGUUGUAUUUGACAUGCUUGGACCAGUAUGCCCAGCUGAUGUUAUUUUGCAGAUGCAUUCCUACCCGCCCUGCAUAAUGAGCUUUCUACUCACAUUCACAGCGACUCAGGGACCCAACUUUUAUCCUUAGAUUUAAUAAAACUUAACGACCCAGUCUCAGUAGCGUCACGCACUGGUUCUUGAGGCAAGUUUUGAAGUGGCAGUACUGGUGUUGAGUUAUCACCCCCCCAUACCCACAUACUGUACUCAGAAUAGUACCAUAGUGAAGUCAGUUAUCAUUUUUAAGUCUUCUAAAUUCAAAGUCGUGGGAUGUUGAUUGGGAACUAAGCAGUUCAAACCUCACCAUUAUAUUCUUGCAUUUGAACUUAUAUUUGCAGGAGUUUGAUGGAAGCAUUGUAGAAAUAAGUGCAUGCAUCUUCUUGCACAGAAAGGUUCAUUGCAUUGUAAACUUGAGAGAGAUCACAGCACAUGCAGAUAGUUCUCAGUAGGAGGCACUGUUGUAUAAUUCCUUUAGCAAGACUAACUGCAUUUGCCUCCACUCUCCUGUCUGCAUAAUUUUGUUUUCAAUAUAGGCCAUUCAUUUGCAUACCUGAUUAAAUUUCACUUGCUUGAAAACCAUACCGCCUAUAAUGACUAAUUGAAUAUCCACAAAUUAGCAUGUGCCCUACUUUUGUAUUCAUCUUAUUCACAACAGCAGGCAAGAAAAGUAAAUUACAAUAGAGGUAAGAUUGAUAAAAUAUGAGGUUUAUUUGGAAUAAUCCAGUCAUACUUCACAGAAAUUAAAAAUCUCUGUUGUGAAAUGCAGAUGAGGGAGAAUCCAGCGGUGCUGUUCUGUGCUGUGGCGUAGCCUGACUGGUCAAACGACUGAGGAAUCAGAUCAUCAUUAGCAUGCAAAGCCUUUAGUCUCAAGAUGCGUUAAAGGUCAGCCUUUCAAUAAGGCAGCUGGACCCAGCCAACAUCCUGCGCCUGACACAGCUGGGAGACAGCUCUGCAUCCUGGCACCCCUGCUCGGCGUGGUGGGGGCAAUAAAAGGGGAAGCACAUAAUACCGUAAAAACAGCAGAUAAAAUACUCCUUGAGGCAGCUCAAGCCAGCUGCAACAGCACCUGCAGUAACGUCAUCACAGGGUACUGAUAGAAAAGUAACCUGCUCGGAGGUUCGUGCACAGAAAUAAAGCAGCGUUUGAUCAAAUACUUAGUAAUGUAGAGAAGAGAUGUGUGAUUUCACCUGACCUACCACCAUUUACUUGUUAACAGCAUCUAUUAUCUCUCACCGAAUGAUUAGAUUGGAGCCGCCUAAGUGCUUUAACAUUAUGCUGAGAAAUCUGGAAGGAUUCUUUGGCAAGAAGAUGUGAGUAGUAAUAUUGUAAAAGAUGACCUGCCUCUUCUUUUACAUUGGAUUAAAAUGUUGUAGCCAGACUUUUUUUUUCUUCUAAUGAGAAGGAUGAAACAAUUCUGAGAUUGCUUAUUGCACCUUUAGCUUUUUGUGAAUGAAUACUUAUAAUGAGAAUAGUAAGAUAAAAUGAGCCAAAAAACUUUUUUAGAUGAGAGGUUUUAAAAAUCCGUAAUGAUUAUUGGCGUUUUUUUUUUUACCUUGUUUAAAAAUUUAACCAUGUUGUGUGAGCUCCUAAGAAGUUACAUGAAGAAGUGUGGGCCUGCGGCUGAGCUUAAAUUCACAAUAGUCCUGUGGGGCUGAGGCACCUGAAUCUUACAUGAAAGUAGGUGGUGAUGGUUUGUGUGUAGACGAACUGUUUCUCACUCAAAAGAUAAAUCAGCUGUAAGACUUGAGAAGCUGUUGAUCGUCUCAUGGCGAAUGUCUUCAUUUGGUUUGAGUAUUUUGUAUAUUUUAUAUUAUUCUACAACCACGAGUCAACCUGCAGCUUAAUGGACCCAGUUCUGAGGCUUUUCAAGUUUUUAUUAUGAUGGUUCUACUCGAGAGAAACAACUUGUUGAUCAUAAACAAUCCCUCAAGCCAGUAUUGUAAUACUGACACAAAUAGAGUCAUCUUCUGGCAGAGAUUCAGUGUCUGUAUCUCUAAGUGUUGUGUAAUGCCCCAUUUAUUAUUGUAGGUGCUGCUCAGAUACAAAAGAAGCAAUUAUUUCUCUGCCUACUGCACCACAGGUGAUUAAAGAUUUAAGAUCUCGAUUCCUCCAGUAGUUGCUGCAGGAAAAAAGGCAAAGACUGAGGGAAACCUUUAAAGCUUUUCAGCUGCUGUGUGUGGUCCUAUUGCAUCUGAUCUCACUAUACUGUUAAAUAAGAUCAGUAGGACAGUCUUUGAAUUAUUAAUAUUUUAGGUUUAGAGAAUUUCACCACUCAACUGCUUUGUGAUACGUGUGAUGAAAUUCAUGAAUAAACAAUCGACUCCUGCAAAUGCUUUCAUGUAACUUCAUUGUAGGUUUAUAAAUAAAAGUCCUUCAGAUUAAUCGCUGCUUCGUGUUCAGUCCUGCGGCACAGCUUGAGGCUUAUUUUCCGUGGGGUUUCUACCUCUGUUUUCUCACAUCUCACCAUUCUGCAUAAACCUGGUUCCUGCGACAUUGCUGGAAUUCUCCAAGAAUGCAUGAACCUGCAGUAAGCUCCUCUGAGGAAGGUAUUAUGAUAGCACCUGUGAGACUGCAAUCAAAGCUAAAGGACAGAAACACAGCCAUGGGCCAAAUUACUCAAAUAUCAGCUAGCAGCAUGAGAUGGAAUCUAUAUUGUUGCUAAAUUGCUAUGUGUAUAACACUGUCAAUCUUGUGUAUGAGACACCAAAUCCCAAAUUGAUUAAAGUUUCUAUUAUAAAGUCACAUUUAACAAAUCCCAACAGAGGGAACAAGCUCUCUCUUCAAGUAUUUCAUUUAAAUCAGUUUGCUGCAGGCCACAGCAGCAACAGUCCCUUUUUAUUGUUGAUAUUCAGCUUCAGAGGCAACAAAGGAAGAUAUUAAACUGAAAAAAAACCCUCUCAUUUACUCUGUCAUUUGUUAAACAGAAAAUAAAAGAAAAAAGGAGCAGAAAAUUGCUUCUUCUUUUACUACUGUUGGCCUAGGAUCAAGCAAGAGUCCGGCACAGAGGAAAACCUUUAUGCAGAAGUUGUUGUUUUUGUUAAUCAAGUUAAACUGAAACUUGAUUAAACUGAAAUUAAUCCUUUUUUUUUGUGAAUAAGGGGGGACUGCAUUUUCACUAACCAGUAAUUUGUGUACAUGAUAUGCCAUAAUAGAUUCUCUGUUUUUUCUUUAUGAAAGGUCAUAUUUUCAGGAAUUGUCUUUUCCAGCGACAGCUUAAGGGAGAAUAAGAUGUCUAAAACGCCACUUGUGUUGAGUUCGGUGCCCCCUGUGGACAAAGAGGUACACUUUACUCUCUUAUAAUUUGGCCUUUUUCUUGUAUUUGUCGGUUAAAAUUCCUUAUUUCAGGCUGUGAGCUAAAAACUCCCCAUAGAAGCUUUAGCCAGUUUUCCUUGGAUAUUGUUCCUUCCUCUGCAGCCAUAGGUAAACCUCAGAUUGUGGUUGUGCUAGGGAUGCACUGAUCCGCUUUUUUCACUUCCGAUACCGCUACAGAUAUCUACAGUUUAGUAUCGGCCGAUACUGAUCCAAUUCCCUUUUGUUGUAACCUGUAGUUUUACCACUGCCCCUGGGAACGUUUACUGUGCAGGUACUGCAAGUGGCCAUCCAGCUUGUAGGCUGAGGUAUUGUGAUAAAGUUCAAGAUAGCAGACCCCUGUACUCACUCCAUUUUGAAAACUAUGUGGACAUCCGCUCAGCGUGUUUACAUGUGGAUGCCACACACAGCGCAUAGCAUAGAGUCAGACUGAACAGAUCGGCCCCUAUCAAUCGGGCUCAUUGUCACGAAACCGAUCUAGAAUUUUCAUCGGUAUUGGGACCAGUAUCGAUAUCAAAUAUCGGAUCGUUGCAUCCCUAGUUUGUGCUCCUCAUACCAGAGCCAGGUCUUAAAGGCCAUACAAUAAUAAUGACAUUAUUUGUAUGGCAUUUUUUCAAACACAAAGUGCAUCAUCAAAAAUCAUAUGCACAACUAUCAGAGAAUACAUUCAAACAUGGUAACGAUAAUCAUUUGUCACAGCAUAGUUAUACAAACACCAGCAAGAAGUACAGUUUAUGCUUAACUAUAAAAGCAAGUUUUUAGAAGCUGUUUAAAAUCAGACCACAGAAUCUGACCACAUGUUCAGGGGGAACAUCCAGAGUUUAGGGGCUGCUGCUGCAAAGGCAAGAUCCCCUCUGAAUUUAAGACCCUGUCAGAGGACCUGAGGAGAAAAUGUCAGCGUGACUUCAGAUAAUCUACUUUAAGAUUGAGUUUGAGUUUAGCAGAACGUAAAGCAGAUUGUUGCAGCUUUAUUUAUUUUAUUCCAAACUUAUCUGAUACUGCAGCUUGGUCAGUGGCUGGGUAUGCUACAAAAACAUAAAGUUUUGGCUGAAGUACCGGGCAGCUUUAGUGAUAAUGGCACAUUGUUAGAAUUGUAACUUUUAGUGGUAAAUAAAAGUGACAGUCUGCAUCAAAACGAUGUUGGUUAAAGAAUAUUUCACAGUGUCAGAUUUUCAGCAACAACUAACAUGUGGCUAUUAUUGUGACACAAGCCUCUUACACACUCCAAUUCUGCAACAUCGCUAGAACAGAACAGGGACAUCACCGCGCCUUUGUACUUACGCCUCCACAACUGCGUGAUCUUGGUGUCCCAGCAUGUGAUUUCACAUUGCGUUGCGGGUGCUAGAGAGGCACAACUUGUUAACACACAGCGGGAGCCCCAUGUACACACACAAACAGACGCGUAAAUAUACACAGCGCUGUUCUCUGCCGCAGACUCAGACUCUAUACAUCAACAUUUAUUCCACACCUUCGUCCCAACAUUCUUCCUCUGUUACUACCUCUGAGGGAGGAUCACAGGCAGAAUGAUUCAGUGUUACACAUUGCUUACAAGGCAAAACAGGGGCAUCAAUAUCCUGCCUUCAAGUGUCAGUAUAUGUAAGCACCUAGAGUUGAAGUUUGGUCAUAUAGGCCUCAAAUAGAUUUUGCAAAGUUUAGGGUUAAAACUUUUGGUUAUGGACAUUGUGUUACCAACCUACCUAUCUUCAUGUAUCCAGGUAACCUGUCACUGUCUUCUGCUUUCACUCAGGUUUAUGUCUUAGUGAUGGGCAUGGCAGUUCUUUUAGAUGUACUGAAUCACUAGAAUCAGUUCACUAAAAAGA